GUCCUUCCCCCAUCCUCGGUCGCCAGCGCUUCUCCGGCAGCCUCGUCCUGAAAUCGUGCGAUUGUGAGCUAGAAGCCUUCUGGGUCACUCAUAAACCAAAGAGAAAAUAAGGAAUUCCUUGGGGCUUAAUACAAAUCCUUGAGAGUUCUAGCCCAGAUGCAGCCUAGAAAUGUGAAGAUGAAGGAGGUAGGUAGUAGGGUUGUUAUUAAUCCUAGGGGAAACCCUCCACUAUGGGAUUCUGAAAUCAGCAGAUAAAUGCUGCAGCCCCCAGACUUGU
rnacentral:lncRNA from 1 species